rfam:Synechococcus sp. JA-2-3B'a(2-13), complete genome.
GGGGCGUUGGCCGAGCGGUUUAGGCAGCAAACUCAUAAUUUGCCUUACACAGGUUCGAUCCCUGUACGCCCCA